rnacentral:rRNA from 1 species
AGCGAACGCUGGCGGCAGGCCUAACACAUGCAAGUCGAACGAACCUUUCGGGGUUAGUGGCGGACGGGUGAGUAACACGUGGGAACGUGCCUUUAGGUUCGGAAUAACUCAGGGAAACUUGUGCUAAUACCGAAUGUGCCCUUCGGGGGAAAGAUUAAUCGCCUUUAGAGCGGCCCGCGUCUGAUUAGCUAGUGGGUUGAGGUAAUGGCUCACCAAGGCGACGAUCAGUAGCUGGUCUGAGAGGAUGAUCAGCCACAUUGGGACUGAGACACGGCCCAAACUCCUACGGGAGGCAGCAGUGGGGAAUCUUGCGAAAUGGGCGAAAGCCUGACGCAGCCAUGCCGCGUGAAUGAUGAAGGUCUUAGGAUUGUAAAAUUCUUUCACCGGGGACGAUAAUGACGGUACCCGGAGAAGAAGCCCCGGCUAACUUCGUG